rnacentral:rRNA from 1 species
GACAGAGGGUGCAAACGUUGUUCGGAAUUACUGGGCGUAAAGCGCGUGUAGGCGGCUACGCAAGUCGGAUGUGAAAUCCCGUGGCUCAACCACGGAAGUGCACCCGAAACUGCGCAGCUGGAGUCUCGGAGAGGAAGGUGGAAUGCUUGGUGUAGAGGUGAAAUUCGUAGAUAUCAAGCGGAACACCGGUGGCGAAGGCGGCGACCUGGGUAGAUACUGACGCUGAGGCGCGAAAGCGUGGGGAGCAAACAGG